GCUCAGCGGGAUGACAGCCGAUGCCACAGCUGUGGUGGUAGGAGCGGGGGAAAAACGUGCGUCCUCCAGGAGAAAAGCAGAGAGGGUUCAUAUCUGGAUUUGCUGCUUGUAAGGAUGAGUGCUUGUCACCCAGCACUGAGAAUGGAGAAGAAAAUCUGCCGUCGGGUUCCACCAAGGAUCCAGGCAUCCCCUCCUCUCUGCCCCCAGAGCUCCACACACCCAGCCCUGAACACAGGCUGGGGACAGAAAUGCAGCUGGUCACAGGAGCGCUGCUCCCCAGCACUGCCUGCCCCCUGAAAGCUGGGCCUGUGAUGGCACUGGGGAAACAGGAGACAGAUGUGGGUUUGGUUUUUUAUGUUUUUGGUUUUUUUUUUUUAACACUUUUAAGCAGCUGUGAUCUGCCAACCUGUGUGAUUCUCCCUGCUGACUCACAUCUCUAAGCAGCUUCUUUCCUUCUGGAGUAACACCUUUCCUGGUAUACAAGUACUGCUGAAGUAUUUACCAGCUAAAGCUCUGGCAAAAGUGUCCCUGCUGAGUAUGCUAUGAGGUGCUCUCUUUAGGGCAAGGGAAGGACACUACACUGCACCACAAGUGGCUUCUCGAUAAAAAGGGACCUUAUUGGCAAACAUGCCCAUUGAUGCAAAGUCUUGCUAGCAGCAUCCUGAGCCAUGGGCAGCAGCCCUACACUGCUGUGCAAGCACUGUGAGCCCUACAGCUGAAAUCCAGUGAUUGCAGUGCCAGCAGAAAUUCUCUCUUCUGGAAGCCAGUGUUUCUGUAUGACAUUUGGGCUGAGGCACAACAGCCAAAUUAAAACAGGGUGAUUUAAAACUGUGUCUGCCUUCACCUGGGAAGGGAGCAUACCCAACUGGUUACAGCAAGCAGAUGGGAAUCCUGGCUUCUUCCCUUGGUUCUGGUCCUACCUCAUGUCACAGGCAGAUCUUAACUCCCUGCCUCAGCUUCUCUGCAAACUACAGAUAACAGCACCUCUGAGAAGCUGUGAGGGUGCCCAGACUUUGGGAAUGGGCUCUGCAUGCUCUGACUUGCUGAGCUGAGGCUCUCGUUAGCAGUGCUUGCUUAACGCAGGGCCCUACUAGUUCUUGGUACCGAGAUGUGCCUCUGCUCUCACUACCCCUCGACAGGUCAGUGGUCCAUCCUCCACCACUGGUUCCUGUAUGCAUGGGAAAGGAGCAAGGGAGAGGAGAGGCGUGGGUGUAGACUUGCUGGGAGAGCUGUGCGGAUAUGUGCUGAGCUAAGUGGAACAGAUCCCAUUGGGAACACUAACCCCUUCUGACUGUGCCUAGGGCAAAGCCCAGCUGAGAUGGAGUACCCAGGCCCUCCCUGUGUCCAGUUCACAGCUGCUGAUGAGGUGGAUUGAGGAGGUCAGAGUCUUUUGUGGAGUUGGUCUGGGGAGAAAUGCUCCUCCAGUUGCUCAUCCCGCAGAUGUGGGAUGAGGCAGAUGCCAUGCAGGCAGGUUUACCUCUUCUCCGUGUGCAUCCGUGUGCAUCCCCCGCUGUCACAGAGCUCGCAGCAUCCCCACACUAGGUGCAGCCAGGCACCUGGACAGAUGCACGAUCCUGCAAGCAAUAACAGACCAAAGAGCGUGAAACACAGAGAGGAGAACCCCAUCAACCUGCUGCACUGCUGUUGCUCCAUGCCAGACAGCUUACCAGCCCCAUCCCACGUCUGAGCUGCCCAUUCUUUGCUAAGCACUGUAAUGCUCCUCCCUCUGCACACAUUGGUCCUCCCUGGCUUUCAGCUGUGGCAGUGCAGCAGCUGAAUACAGCAGGGAGGCCUUCUCAAUUCUUUCCUUCUCCAGCCUUCCUUCCUGUACACUGGCAGCAGAACCAAGCCAAUGCAAUGUCUUCCAGCAAUUUACCUGCAAAACUAUUAAGAUUCUCGUGAACAUGACUGCACUGUAAUUUGGAGUAAUGCUGAAAAAAUAACAUGAGCUGAAUGUUGACACUCUCCCAUAGGGAAGGCGUAAUACUAAACACAGAGUCAAUAUUCAGAUCUUUGGAGAAACCUUUCUAGGAAAGCUCUGCUGGUCUUUUUCUUGACGUGAGCUGAAUAAUGUAGUCUUAAGUCUGCAUUUUUAAAACCAGCCAACGAGUUCGGGCUGGAAUUUCCCAUCUCCCUUCUCUCACUGCGGUAACUUCAGCAGGAACCUAGAUACCACCCAAGCGAAAUUCCAGUCCAGUAACGAAAGCUUGGCACAGCUAUAAGCAACCAGAAAACAGGAAACUAAAUGUGGUUAGGAGACAGUGCUAAGAAGAAAUGUUGGCAAUCCUUAGUAAAUGCGAAGUCUCAUUUUUUCCUCCUAACUUUAAUUCAAUUCUUAAUGUCAAUAAAUCAAUAUUCCUGUUAUUAUGCAUAAGCUACUGCAUUACGCUUACUAUGCUUUGCCCUCUGUGAGGUCUAAGUGGGACAUUUAUGCUCUGGAAGAAGGGCUGAGCAGUCAGCAGUUAAACUCCAAGGCGUGCUCUUCCUUGGCACUGGGGAAGCCAGGGGAGGAUGCGCUCAGCCAGGAAGGCAUCAGCUCCAAGCUCCCAGCACACUGGUCUGAACGAAGCCAGCAGUCUCCUCUGAGAUGUGAACCCAAAUGCUGUGGCACACACAAGUGGAUGGAGGCUGUCCUGUGCAACUGAGCUUCUUCAGCAAGCUGAAUGUGUAUCAACUCAGGACAUUACUCAGCAACUCGCUAGCUACUAGAUCUAUGCUCAUGGUGACAGUUCCUUGAAGCAUGCCCAGAAGCCCCAGAGAACAGCUGGGAUGUAAUGAGUUACCCAGCCGCCUCGUACUAAAUACAAGCAGUAUCUGGUCAAGCUCUGUGCGGGAGGGGCUGGAAGGUGACAUCUGAGUUCCCACCGAUGGAUCUUCACAUGACCAUGAGCCUUGCCCUUCCUGCAGCCUCAGGCAUCCCCUCGAGUGACUGCUGCUCUCCUCGGCCCCACAGGUAGGGCGGGCAUCCCAUUCAUGUCCACUGCUACUGGCCUCCAGAAAACAUAAUGCAGGUUAGCAUACAAAAAAAGAGCUGGGAAAAGAGAAUGAGCUGGCAAAUACCCUGCCUGGGACUACUCACACUGAUGGUUAUGGUGGCUCUGCUGAGACAUAGACAGCUGGUAAGCUGCAGGUCCAUGAUUUGGACCAGCCCAGCUCUGUAAGGCUCACGUAAGCAGAAUGGCAUGGAUCUGUGCUUGGAAGGAGGCUGUGACUACUGUAGGAAAGGCUAGGGCACAGCCGCUGACUUGCAGGCUCUGCGUUUGGGUCCUGCCUGGCCACUGGACUACGAGUGGAUAAGGAUAGAGCUGGCUGGUGAAGGACAGCAAUGUCCCAUCCCUGCUUUGAUGAGCCUUAAAGGCUUGCUCCUGAGUGCUUGGGUGGCAAGCGUGAUGGGGCUCCCAGGAAGCAAUUGUACACUGCUGAUCUUGAGGCACUCACUGGCCUAUGUGGGGCAACGGGACCACCAAAACCAGGCUGGCACCCAGGGCAGGAAAGCACCAGUCCCAAAAAAGCUGGGCAGAGAUGAAGCGAAGUCUGCCCUGAUUCUGUGAGAGGUUGGAAGCCACACAGUGGCUCUCUUUCAGGGACUGGCUCUGGAAGUCUCCCAGCUUUUGCUGAAGCUGAAUGGCUGGUGGAAAAUGAUUUAUUUUAAAUUUUCUUUCCUGCAUUAGGAACUGGAAAGGCUCCCACUUCAGUUUGUGUAACUGCUUGGCUGCUGUGACAAGGAAUGCUCGGAGAAGAACCCUGCUGCUGGCUGGAGCACCAGCUUUCCUUUGAGCCGAGCUGGGCUGCUCCUUGCUGCAGCCUUGCUUUGUCCCAGUGCUUCGGAUCCUGCUCCCUCGGGCUUGGCAGAGACAGGGCAGCAGGUCCACCAGGGGGGCUGUGCUCCCACCCUGGUUCCAAGGAGAGGGCAGGAGGCACAGGGACACGCGGAGGAAGAGCCAUUCUGUGUGCCUCUUGUGAUGUUGCAGGUAAAGGAGGAAGUAAGCAGAUGCCAAGCAUGUUGGACAACUUCAGUCAAGAUCAGAUAUCUUGCACUGUGAUGUCCAAAAGCAGACAUGGUGACCAGGUAUGGUCUCACAAGCCCUGAACAGAGAUGAAGCCUCUUCCCUCGAUCUACUGGCUGCACCUUGGCUAACGCAACUCCAGGCACACUUGGCCUUUGGUGACACAGAGGCACACAGCUGACAUGGUGGUUUUCAGCAGACCACCAGUCAGACCCCAGCCCAUGCCAGUGCCUGGCAUUCCUCCAGCAAACUGCAGUUGUCUCUACUAAAUUUCAUGAGCCUUCAGAUGGCUCCGGGCUUUGCUGUGAGCCAAGGCACAGGGCAGGAGAGAGCUGGGACAUGGCUGCAGAGAGAGCGGACAAUGCCUAUGUGGUCCCACGAAACAGGGGAUACCUCACAUGACUUCUUACUUGGAGGUGGCAAAGAGCCUCCAGGAUCUCUGUCACUCAGACUGGGAGGAAGUUUCUUCCUGACCACAGUCUCAGAGACUACACAGCAACCCAGGUGGUUUCACUUCUCACCUUUGGACAAAACUCGCCGACCAAGGCUGAGGGAGCUUCUGACAGCCUGAAAAGCCCCAGCAUGUCUUUACCAGUGUCCCAUCUUCUACUCAGAACCACAGAAUGGUUAGGAUUGGAAGGGACCUACGGGUCCAUCUUCUCCAACCCCUGCUUAAGCAGAGCCACUCAGAGCAGGUGCCCAGGACCACAUCUGAAGAUCUCCACACCACAGUCUUCCUGAGCAACACGUGCCAACACUCCAUCGUCUGCACAGUACAGAAGAGAUUCCUGAUGUUCAGAUGGAACCUCUCGUAUUCCAGUUUGUAUCCAAUGCCCCUUGUCCUGGCCCUGGGCACUGCUGAAAAUAGCACGGCUCCUUCCUCUUUGCAGCCUUCCUUCAUUGACAAGAUCCACUCCCUGAGCCUCCCCUUCUCCAGGCUAAGUAAUCCCAGGGCCUGAAGAGACUCAAAAACAACUGCAACCUUACAUCACUGCAGAGGUUCUCCAAAGACUGGGGGAACAAUUCCUUCAACCUGUGAAAACCCUACAGGGUGGGAUGCACUCAGUGCAGUGUGAAUGCAUCAUGGCCACCUGAGAAUGCUCCCAAGUUGUAUCUCAGGAGCUCUGUCCUCUGAACUUCCCCACGUUGUAUUCUCAGACUGCCAGGUUAGGAACCUGUAGCUCCAAUCUUUGGGCUCCUACCAAGUCAUUUUCAGCUUCUGGGCGCAAGGCACCCUCCUCACAUCUCACCUGCCGACCAUCAUGGACUGCAGAUCUCUGCAGCACCCUCUGUGCCCUGGGAACCCGUCCCACCCCAUUGUGAAGUGGCUGCAGAUUUCUCAACACGUUGGUGUCAGAAAGUCACCUUCCAUCCUCUUUCUGUGAGAGUGAAGAUAGGUUUUAGGCAGCAGCUCUGAGGGUGGGAAGAGGAACAGGUCAUAGAAUGAAAGAAUAUCCCCUUUUAAAAUACAUUUCCCCUCCGCUAUGCCUGUGCUUUGCC